CCUACGGGAGGCAGCAGUGAGGAAUAUUGGUCAAUGGACGCAAGUCUGAACCAGCCAUGCCGCGUGCAGGAAGACGGCUCUAUGAGUUGUAAACUGCUUUUGUACGAGGGUAAACGCAGAUACGCGUCUCUGUCUGAAAGUAUCGUACGAAUAAGGAUCGGCUAACUCCGUGCCAGCAGCCGCGGUAAUACUGAGGAUUCAAGCGUUAUCCGGAUUUAGUGGGUUUAAAGGUUGCGUAGGCGGUCGGAUAAGUUAGAGGUGAAAUCCCGAGGCUCAACUUCGGAAUUGCAUCUGAUACUGUUAGGAUAGAGAGUAGUUGCGGUAGGCGGAAUGUAUGGUGUAGCGGUGAAAUGCUUAGAGAUCAUACAGAACACCGAUUGCGAAGGCAGCUUACCAAGCUACUUCUGACGUUGAGGCACGAAAGCGUGGGGAGCAAACAGGAUUAGAUACCCCUGUAGUC
rnacentral:rRNA from 1 species